rnacentral:lncRNA from 1 species
GGGUGUAGGCGUGGGUGCAUGGGGGCACCAAGUUAGGGACCAAUCUUAUCUCCAUUAAGAUUCCUUAUAUGAUAAGGGGUGGAAAAAUUCAAAUCAGAUUUGAAUGAGGACUCCUAAUCAAUUGGGGCAUGGAGAAUUAUCUAUAAAUAGGAAGGACCUCUAACCAUCAAAGCAUGAUAAUUUGAUUGAGUGCUAAGGUGGAAAAGAGAGAGAGGUGGCAUCCAAGAGCAGGAAG